AAGCAGGUCGAGCUUGGCGUCAGGUGAACCGCGCGAAAUACAAAUUUAGCCUCAGUUUCAGUGAUUUAAUUCUCAAAAACGAGUCUGUUAAAGUACGCGCUGUGUAUCUGCUUAAAGAUAAAGUUCCUGCCACAUGUGUUAUUGAGUCAGAACUUAUUACAGGACACAAGAAUCUGAUGACGGAAAAUCUCAUCAACGGUUAAACUGUUUAUCUGGAAAGUGAGAAAUGCAUAAAAAGACGUUGGUGAAGCGGCGCGCGCUAAACCCUGAAGUUCGAUGGAAAAUGACCACAUGUCAAGGAGAGCUGCUGAGGGAGUCUCAGUGUCCGACAGAGAAGACCCGGGUAUUGUAGAUAACAGUAUCUGCCUACAUUUACAUCAGCACAUAAGGAUGGGUUUUUCAUAUUCUUGUUCAUGAUAGUAGCAGCACGUUUUAGUACAUUGCUUUACAACCACAUCCACAGAAUGUUACUGUUUUUGUAGAUAACUCAGAUAACUACAUAUAAUAAAUCAUUUCAUUCUAGGACUGUGCUGUAAAAGAGAAAAUUACAAGGAGGCCUGGAUCUCGGAAACUUAAAUAACUAGUGAAUCAGACGGGCCAUGCCAAUCCAUCUUAAGGCAGUCUGAGCUACUAAAAUAAUGAAAUUAAAAAGAGAGAAGAUCUGUCUGCGUCAGUGCUUUAGUGCAGAUGAAGGUGGCCGAACAGAUUUUCCCCAUGAAGGAGGUCCAGAAAGUUCACCAGCAAAUUCAACAAUGUGGACAAGCUAGGAAAACAAGAGGUGUAAUUCAUGUCACAAUUCACACCCCCACACACACUCAGACACAGGACACAUCCAAGCACCCAAUACUGCCAUAAUUAAUUGCAUAAGGAAUGAUUAUGAAUGAGAUUUUUCAUUAUGUAUGUAUAGAAUUUAUAUAUAGAUUUAUACCACAAUACAUUAUUCAGUUAUAUAAUUGUAUAUAUUACUGUAUAAUAAAAUUAUAUUAUUGUAUAA